rnacentral:rRNA from 1 species
AACGAACGCUGGCGGCGUGCCUAAUACAUGCAAGUCGUACGAGAAAGCCCUUCGGGGUGAGUAGAGUGGCGCACGGGAGAGUAAUGCAUGGGAACGUACCUUUAGGAGGGGGAUAACCACGGGAAACUGUGGCUAAUACCGCAUGUGGUAGCAAUACUAAAGAUGGCCUCUACUUGUAAGCUAUCGCCUAGAGAUCGGCCCAUGUCCCAUUAGCUAGAUGGUGAGGUAAUGGCUCACCAUGGCUACGAUGGGUAGCUGGUCUGAGAGGAUGAUCAGCCUCACUGGGACUGAGACACGGCCCAGACUCCUACGGGAGGCAGCAGUAGGGAAUCUUGCACAAUGGACGAAAGUCUGAUGCAGCAACGCCGCGUGUGUGAAGAAGGCUCUUGGGUCGUAAAGCACUUUCGACAGGGAAGAAGGGUACUAAUUCGAACAGGAUUAGUAUUUGACGGUACCUGCAGAAGAAGCACCGGCUAACUCCG